AUCAUGGCUCAGAUUGAACGCUGGCGGCAGGCCUAAUACAUGCAAGUCGAACGGUAACAUAAAAGAAGCUUGCUUCUUUUGAUGACGAGUGGCGGACGGGUGAGUAAUAUUUGGGAAACUACCUGAUAGAGGGGGACAACAGUUGGAAACGACUGCUAAUACCGCAUAUAGCCUAAGGGUGAAAGCAGCAAUGCGCUAUCAGAUGUGCCCAAACGGGAUUAGCUAGUAGGUGAGGUAAAGGCUCACCUAGGCGACGAUCUCUAGCUGGUCUGAGAGGAUGAUCAGCCACAUUGGGACUGAGACACGGCCCAGACUCCUACGGGAGGCAGCAGUAGGGAAUAUUGCACAAUGGAGGAAACUCUGAUGCAGCCAUGCCGCGUGUGUGAAGAAGGCCUUCGGGUUGUAAAGCACUUUCGGGUUGUAAACUUCUUUUACCGGGGACGAAAAAAUGACGGUACCCGGAGAAAAAGCCACGGCUAACUACGUG
rnacentral:rRNA from 1 species